UGGAAUGGUAUUUGGCAGGGGCUGAAGGGAGUGAGGAGCUGUUGUUAACGUCACAGAAUGUCAGUUGGAGAUGGUCUAAAGGCUCUAGAACUGGACGGUGAGGACAGUUCUGCAAUAGUGCAGUUGCCAGACAUGCCACUGAGUCUAACCUCAGAAGACAGCGUUUGCCUCUUUCACUACCCGACUCUGUGCAGGUGCAGGAUGGGAUCCUGCUCAUGAGCACCGAGGAUGCCAGAGAAGCCACAGAAAGAUGAUGCUUAGCAGCAGCCCCAAUCUCUGCUCAGAUAACAAGCGGGACUUCACUCCAGACUCAACCCCAGGACACGUUCCCAUUGCAGGGCUCCAACGGCAAACAGUAUCCACCCUGAGCUUCUGCACUGGCACCAGGUCUGCUGAGCUGGCCAAAGGUCUGCGGACAGACAGGUCCCCAGGGAGGUGUAGCAGAUGAAGUGAAAAUAUGCUUAAUUCUGGCAACAUUAGAAAAUGCACAGAAGAAUAAAGAAGAGAACUAUUCAUCAUGUGGGAA